UACGGGGGGGGGCAAGCGUUGUUCGGAAUUACUGGGCGUAAAGGGCUCGUAGGUGGCCAACUAAGUCAUACGUGAAAUCCCUCGGCUUAACCGGGGAACUGCGUCUGAUACUGGAUGGCUCGAGUUUGGGAGAGGGAUGCGGAAUUCCAGGUGUAGCGGUGAAAUGCGUAGAUAUCUGCAGGAACACCCGUGGCGAAAGCGGCGCGCUGGACCACUACUGACGCUGAGGAACGAAAGCUAGGGGAGCAAACAGG
rnacentral:rRNA from 1 species